UUUUUUUUUUUUCAAACAGCUUUAUUGAGGUAUAAUCCCCCUACUGAAAGUGUACAAUGAAAUGGUUUUUAAUAUGUUCACAAAGUUGUGCAACCAUCACCAGCAUCAACUGUAGCCUUCAUGGUGCCAAAAAGAAACCUCUUAUCCUCAGCCCCUCCCAGCCCCCAGCACCCCCGCCCUGGGCAGGCCCCUUUCUGUCCCGCAGAGCUGCCUAUUCCAGACAUUUCAAUAAAUGGAAUCAUCCAAUCCGUUGACCCCACGCCCCAGCUUGACGCUUGGUACAUCCCAGCCAAACAGCAAUUCACGGUACUUGAUGUUUUAUUUCAUCCGUGUUUGCUUCAGCCUCCUACUGGUCUCCCUGCUCCCACUCCCCCCACUUCCCAGCCAUCCUUCCCAGCCAUCCUCCCAGAGCGGUCUUUAAAAAUGCAAAUAUGGUCAUAUUUCUCCCCUGCUUAAAAUCCUGCUUAAAAUUCUGAAACUCUCUCCAAAGGGUACGGCACUGCCCCAGCUGGCCCCAGCUGGCCUCUUGGGCCACUGCCCUGUCCUUCUACUCCUCCAGGGAGCCCUGUGCCCACUACCUCGGGGCCUCCCAGGGGUCAUGCUGCUCCUCCCCGCUCCCCUGCACGUCUCCUCUUCAUGUGCUUAGUCUCUACUCAAACGUCCACUUCUUCUGGGAAGCCGCCCCCUCCGACUUCCUCGGACAUCAGGACGCCCUCGUCCAUGUCAACACGCAUCUUGUGCCUUCUUUCUAAUCCUUUACCACACUUGUGAUGUAGUGUUCGUUUAUGACCACCUGCACUCGUGGACUGCAUGGCCCGCCUGUGAGGGAAGGGACCCUGCCUCCUGUAUUCCCCCCCGGAAGCAGGGCCGGGCAAUGUAGACAUGCAGUGGGCACUGGUUGAAUGGCUGGAUGUUCUCCUCAGCCUCGGUCUCUCCAGUGUCAGAGCUUUUUGCCUUAGGGGCUGACUGGGCUAGGUCUCCAGUUCCCGGAGGACAGCGCCCAUAUUUGUUGAUCUGGGGGAGUCCCUGGGCCUUGCUGAGGGCUUUGUACAUGAUAACGGGCCCAGGAAUGCCAUUAGUGGAUGACUGAAUGGCCAUGUAGAUAAUUCACUUUCCUCUCCAGACCUGGUUUGGGUGGGGACCUCAGAGUAAGCAGGCUGGGAGAGAGCAGGAGAAACACCCCUCCUUAACAAAAUCGUGUCUCCCGUGCCUCUAGCAGAAUCUGAAGUCAGGCCCAGAUGCGAAGUGUUUUCCUCUGGUCUGCCACUUGGGGCAGGUCAGUCCCCACGGCCUGCUGCGGGGUGCUGCCCCUCCCCGAGGUAUUCCCAGCUAAAGGACUGCCUUCCUCUAGUAGGGAAUUCUCUUGUAGGAACUCUUUCCAAAUUGCCUUUGGCUGGGGAGUGAAUCCAACAUCGGGACCCACCUUGGGGGUCCUGGGUGGCCCGCAGCCUGUCUACUCCACUCUCAGGCGGCUCCCACCAGGCCUGCGAGAGAAAACACUUGGCCUGACCGAGGUGGAGGUUUCCGAAAGGAGCCAGGGAUAGCUGUCCUGAAAAAGCGAUCAUUUGCUGCCAGGAACCAGCCCCCUGCAUUCCGCGGUCCUGACUGUUCCCAAAGCCCUCUCACCUAAUGACCUUCGGCUUAGUGCAGAGAGAGGGCCAUGUGGGCAGCCGGUGGCCUCAGCGCUGCCUUUGGAAGACAGAGUGACUCAAGUUACUCCUUGUCCGUUUGCUCUCAGUCCUU
ensembl:lncRNA